GUACUUUCUACGCUACGCUACUAGUAGGGGUUUAUAGAUUCUCUAACCUCAAAAACCCUAACUUCUAAAAUUACCCCUAAAAAUGGAGAAAUCUGAAGCUGUUUGCGCACAAGAAGCAUUGGAAUUGCUUAAUUGUGUCACCAGUUCAUCUUUCGAUCAAGAGAAAUGUAUCACGCUCUUGAAUUCCCUACGGAAAUGCGUCCUCGACAAGAAAGUGAAAAAGUUCUCACUGGCAGAAGAGAAAACCGAGGAGAUGGGUAAAAAACAGGCCUGAUCUCUAAUCUUUAACUGACUUCAGUUUCACAGUUAUGAAUGAUUUUUGAGCAUUGUAUUCAACAUGUAGAUCAACAUAUAACUUGAGAUUUUGGACACAUGCCACAGUUUUUGGCUAUACACAUGUUGAAGCUUCUACUUUCA